UUAAACUAUCUGGUAUCUGAAUUUUCCAAUUUUUCAAAUUUUUAAUAAUAGAAAUCCCCCAAUCCUCUAAUAAUCUAACAUUCCACUUUUCGAUCGAACCAAGAAAAAUCGAAUCACGGAUACAAUGCAACUCGAUGUCGCAAAACUAAUUCAAAGUUCGAUAAUUGAUAUCUGGCUGUCGGCCCAGGCCAGUUCUUCUAGUCAAUAACGAGAGAUUAGUGUGAGAAGGAGCUCGAUACAACGAAACCGUGGGCUGGAUUCUUUAUUUUCAAAUUUCGUUAGGAGAAAAAGAAGAAAAAAAAAAAAAGAAAAAAGAAAAAAAAGAACGAAACGGGACCACGGCAAGUUUCUAUGAAUCGAAUGGCAAAAAAAACGAACGAAAAACGAGAGCGGUUGUCUGAAGAAAAGAGAAAAAAAGACUCACUAUUUUUACAUUUCUCUUUUUUUAACCCUCCCCCCUCGAUUAAUCGACGAGAUUGAUCGUCGACUAAUGAGUUUUUUAGCCACGCGUAAGAAAAAUAAAAAAAGAAUCAUCUUCUAUAUAUACAUAGAAUGUAUAUGUAUAAAAAUUAUAUAUAUAUUGUGAAAAUAUUUUAGAUAAGAGAAAAUACACGCGUUUCUGCACAGUAUAAUUCUGUCUGACAGUAGAUAGUGUCUAUCGACUAAACAAUGCCGCGUAUGGUUGCAACGAUAGCAACCACAACUGUGUUCUACAUGUCAAUAACGUGUUACUGUACGUACGUACGAUUUCAGAAUUUUCGUUUCGUUUAGUAGCAAAAAAAAAAGUUCUCUUUCCGUCGCUGUGAAUAAAACGAGAGAUCUCUAAGUUCCGCUCGAUCUGAGAAUUUACGGAUGAAAUAGGAAAUGUGUGUUUCGUUCAAAUUUCAUUACCAUUCGUCGUAGGUUAUCAUUCCGUUAAAACUCGUUAAAUUAUCGAAUCUUCGAUUCAAAUUCAAAUUUCUUGAAAUUUUCUAUUCUCAGUCUGCCACACUUCAAGCGACUCUUAACUUUCUGAUUGUCUAAUUUGACAAUCCGGGGAUCUAAGAUCCUUGGGCGAAUAUUUUUUGAUCGUUUCGACGUUCUCCUUUUCAUAUCUCUGAUCCGUAAUACGCUGUUUUUGGAUAAUCUAUCGAUCUACGGAUUUAGAAUGUUGCAAAACGAUCGAAAUGCCUAAAUUUUUUUCUCUGUUUGUCUCACUGUUCGAUGCUUGGAUGGCGGCGCAGCGUCUGCGUCGUCUGUACAGGGCGAGUCAAAAGUCGUGCAAUUCCGAGGAAAAUCUCCCAACGAAGAUUGUAUCAUAGUUAGAAAUAAGCCACGCGACGAAAUCAAUGUUCUGGCAUAGUCGAUAAUAAGAAUGAUCGAAAAUCGGAGCCUGGUGCGAUCGUUCGAUCAGUAACAACAAGUUAUAGCUUUAAUCACUAGAAUCUGGUGAUUUUCUCGCGUAUAUCGACAGACUGCGCAUUU